rnacentral:rRNA from 1 species
UACGUAGGGUGCCAGCGUUGUCCGGAAUUAUUGGGCGUAAAGAGCUCGUAGGCGGCUUGUCGCGUCGGCUGUGAAAACCUGGGGCUCAACUCCGGGCUUGCAGCCGAUACGGGCAAGCUAGAAUUCGGUAGGGGAGACUGGAAUUCCUGGUGUAGCGGUGAAAUGCGCAGAUAUCAGGAGGAACACCGGUGGCGAAGGCGGGUCUCUGGGCCGAUAUUGACGCUGAGGAGCGAAAGCGUGGGGAGCGAACAGG